AAUACCCCUCAACCACUCCUUCCAUCAUCCUCUCUCUCACGAAAGUGAACCCCUGAUGAGAAAGAACAGCAGAUCAGAUCUGACGAAAAAUCAUGAGUAGCAAAGAUGUUCUCCAUAAUUCCUUCUGGUCUAAAAUCACAGAUCUGAGUACAGAACGAGGAUCAACUACUUACCCAGUUCCAUUUGAUGCUUCAGAAAAUACUUCAUGCCAGAAAACAGGAGGAUCAAUUACUUACACAGAUCAUGCAUCAAACAAGACUCCAUACAUUAGACAAGAUUUUCCGACUGAUUUUCCAACAGUACAAACUGACGGAGAAGAUAACAACACAUACCA